rnacentral:rRNA from 1 species
UACGGGGGGAGCAAGCGUUGUUCGGAUUUACUGGGCGUAAAGGGCGCGUAGGCGGCGCAACAAGUCACUUGUGAAAUCUCCGGGCUUAACCCGGAGCGGCCAAGUGAUACUGUCGUGCUAGAGUGCGGAAGGGGCUACUGGAAUUCUCGGUGUAGCGGUGGAAUGCGUAGAGAUCGGGAAGAACAUCAGUGGCGAAGGCGGCCUGCUGGGCUGGUUGCUGACGCUGAGGCGCGACAGCGUGGGGAGCAAACAGG